UACGUAGGUGGCAAGCGUUGUCCGGAAUUAUUGGGCGUAAAGCGCGCGCAGGCGGCCUUUUAAGUCUGAUGUGAAAGCCCACGGCUCAACCGUGGAGGGUCAUUGGAAACUGGAAGGCUUGAGUGCAGAAGAGGAGAGCGGAAUUCCACGUGUAGCGGUGAAAUGCGUAGAGAUGUGGAGGAACACCAGUGGCGAAGGCGGCUCUCUGGUCUGUAACUGACGCUGAGGCGCGAAAGCGUGGGGAGCGAACAGGAUUAGA
rnacentral:rRNA from 1 species